rnacentral:rRNA from 1 species
AGAUUGAACGCUAGCGGGAUGCUUUACACAUGCAAGUCGAACGGCAGCGCGGACUUCGGUCUGGCGGCGAGUGGCGAACGGGUGAGUAAUAUAUCGGAACGUGCCCAGUAGCGGGGGAUAACUACGCGAAAGCGUGGCUAAUACCGCAUACGCCCUACGGGGGAAAGGGGGGAUCGCAAGACCUCUCACUAUUGGAGCGGCCGAUAUCAGAUUAGCUAGUUGGUGAGGUAAAGGCUCACCAAGGCGACGAUCUGUAGCUGGUUUGAGAGGACGACCAGCCACACUGGGACUGAGACACGGCCCAGACUCCUACGGGAGCAGCAGUGGGAAUUUGGACAAUGGGGAAACCCUGAUCAGCCAUCCCGCGUGUGCGAUGAAGGCCUUCGGUUGUAAGCACUUUGUCGAGGAAGAACGGCGUAGCCGUAAUACGGACGUACACUAGACGUACC